GAUGAAGAACGUAGCGAAAUGCGAUAAGUAAUGUGAAUUGCAGAAUUCAGUGAAUCAUCGAAUCUUUGAACGCACAUUGCGCCCCUUGGUAUUCCGAGGGGCAUGCCUGUUCGAGCGUCAUUAUAACCCCUCAAGCUCAGCUUGGUGUUGGGGCCUGCUGCACUGGCAGCCCUUAAAAUCAGUGGCGGCGCCAUCUGGCUCUAAGCGUAGUAAUUCUUCUCGCUAUGGAGUCCUGGUGGAUGCUUGCCAUCAACCCCCAAUUUUUCUAUGGUUGACCUCGGAUCAGGUAGGGAUACCCGCUGGACUUAAGCAUAUCAAUAAGCGGAGGA
rnacentral:misc_RNA from 1 species